rnacentral:lncRNA from 1 species
GUGUUAUCCCAUGUGCUUCCAGACUCUGACUCUUAUCUGCGUUUUAUUGAACAAAUGAAUUUGGCUACUAAAGACUGAUCCUGGACUGACAUCUUAGAUAUUCCUUCACCAAGAAUGGAUAACAGGGCAGGAACCAAAAAUUUCCUGGUGCCUCACUCCAAGAUGCAAUAUCAGCUCUUGUCCUAAAGAUAGGAAUGCACCUGCUGGUGGAUGGGACCACACCCCUCUGCUCACUUCAGCAAGCCCGUAUAUCUGCAGGACUGCUGGUAACCAUGGGAUGUUCAGAAGCCAUUUGCAACUGAGUCUGAGAGGGGUUGGGGGGAACGGAUGCUCAUGUUUAUGAGCCUGAGCAGCUUGUGUCAUGCAGCGGGUUGUCAUGUUCCCAGUAAACACACAACAUGGAAACUAUAUCCUAGAGCCAUACCCUUUCCUUGCUCAAAAGCCCCUUUGGAAGUUUCCCAUCAGCCACCACCCUUUACAUUAGUCAAGAGCACAUUAUCAUUUUUUUAAUUAAAAAAACUAAUGUAUUUAUUUUGUGUGUUUAUGUGUGCUUAUACAUGUGUGCUAGGGUACAUGUGUGUACAUGCAUGAAGAGGGCAGAAGUUAACCUCAGGUUAAUUUCCCCAAGAAAUAUCCACCUAAUUUCUUAAGUCAGGGACUCUCACUGGGACUUGGGGAUUUCUGAGGAGGCUAAGCUAACUGGCUAAUAAGCCCCAAGGAUCUUUCUGCUCAGCCUCUCCACCAGUGGUGUGACAAGCACCAGCCACCGUGCCCAGCUUUCUAAUGUAGGUGCAGGGGAUUGAGU